AGAGUCUGAUGGAGCACGCCGCGUGAGUGAAGAAGGGUUUCGGCUCGUAAAACUCUGUUGUUAAAGAAGAACAUAUCUGAGAGUAACUGUUCAGGUAUUGACGGUAUUUAACCAGAAAGCCACGGCUAACUACGUGCCAGCAGCCGCGGUAAUACGUAGGUGGCAAGCGUUGUCCGGAUUUAUUGGGCGUAAAGCGAGCGCAGGCGGUUUUUUAAGUCUGAUGUGAAAGCCUUCGGCUCAACCGAAGAAGUGCAUCGGAAACUGGGAAACUUGAGUGCAGAAGAGGACAGUGGAACUCCAUGUGUAGCGGUGAAAUGCGUAGAUAUAUGGAAGAACACCAGUGGCGAAGGCGGCUGUCUGGUCUGUAACUGACGCUGAGGCUCGAAAGUAUGGGUAGCAAACAGGAUUAGAUACCCUGGUAGUCCAUACCGUAAACGAUGAAUGCUAAGUGUUGGAGGGUUUCCGCCCUUCAGUGCUGCAGCUAACGCAUUAAGCAUUCCGCCUGGGGAGUACGGCCGCAAGGCUGAAACUCAAAGGAAUUGACGGGGGCCCGCACAAGCGGUGGAGCAUGUGGUUUAAUUCGAAGCUACGCGAAGAACCUUACCAGGUCUUGACAUACUAUGCAAAUCUAAGAGAUUAGACGUUCCCUUCGGGGACAUGGAUACAGGUGGUGCAUGGUUGUCGUCAGCUCGUGUCGUGAGAUGUUGGGUUAAGUCCCGCAACGAGCGCAACCCUUAUUAUCAGUUGCCAGCAUUAAGUUGGGCACUCUGGUGAGACUGCCGGUGACAAACCGGAGGAAGGUGGGGAUGACGUCAAAUCAUCAUGCCCCUUAUGACCUGGGCUACACACGUGCUACAAUGGAUGGUACAACGAGUUGCGAACUCGCGAGAGUAAGCUAAUCUCUUAAAGCCAUUCUCAGUUCGGAUUGUA
rnacentral:rRNA from 2 species